GAUGAACGCUGGCGGCGUGCCUAAUACAUGCAAGUCGAGCGAACGGACGAGAAGCUUGCUUCUCUGAUGUUAGCGGCGGACGGGUGAGUAACACGUGGAUAACCUACCUAUAAGACUGGGAUAACUUCGGGAAACCGGAGCUAAUACCGGAUAAUAUUUUGAACCGCAUGGUUCAAAAGUGAAAGAUGGUCUUGCUGUCACUUAUAGAUGGACCCGCGCUGCAUUAGCUAGUUGGUAAGGUAACGGCUUACCAAGGCAACGAUGCAUAGCCGACCUGAGAGGGUGAUCGGCCACACUGGAACUGAGACACGGUCCAGACUCCUACGGGAGGCAGCAGUAGGGAAUCUUCCGCAAUGGGCGAAAGCCUGACGGAGCAACGCCGCGUGAGUGAUGAAGGUCUUCGGAUCGUAAAACUCUGUUAUUAGGGAAGAACAUAUGUGUAAGUAACUGUGCACAUCUUGACGGUACCUAAUCAGAAAGCCACGGCUAACUACGUG
rnacentral:rRNA from 1 species